rnacentral:rRNA from 1 species
GAGCUGAAUAUGCUCAGGCGCUUGAGAGAACUCGGGAGAAGGAACUCGGCAAAUUGACACCGUAACUUCGGAAGAAGGUGUGCCUUUGUAGCUUGACGGGAGAGAAACCCGAAGGGCGAAGAGGUCUCAGAGAAUCGGUGGCUGUAACUGUUUACUAAAAACACAGCGCUCUGCAAAGAUGAAAGUCGACGUAUAGGGCGUGAUGCCUGCCCGGUGCUGGAAGAUUAAUUGAUGGGGUGCAAGCUCCUGAUCGAAGUCCCAGUAAACGGCGGCCGUAACUAUAACGGUCCUAAGGUAGCGAAAUUCCUUGUCGGGUAAGUUCCGACCUGCACGAAUGGCAUAACGAUGGCCACACUGUCUCCUCCCGAGACUCAGUGAAGUUGAAAUGUUUGUGAUGAUGCAAUCUCCCCGCGGCUAGACGGAAAGACCCCAUGAACCUUAACUGUAGCUUUGCAUUGGACUUUGAACCGAUCUGUGUAGGAUAGGCGGGAGGCUUUGAAGAAUGGACGCCAGUUCAUUCGGAGCCGUCGUUGAAAUACCGCCCUGAUUUGUUUGAGGUUCUAACCUGGGCCAGUAAUCCUGGCUGGGGACCGUGCAUGGUGGGCAGUUUGACUGGGGCGGUCUCCUCCUAAAGGGUAACGGAGGAGUGCGAAGGUACGCUAAUCACGGUCGGAAAUCGUGAGGAUACUGCAAUGGGAAAAGCGUGCCUGACUGCGAGACAGACAAGUCGAGCAGAUGCGAAAGCAGGUCAUAGUGAUCCGGUGGCUUCUGUAUGGAAGGGCCAUCGCUCAACGGAUAAAAGGUACUCUGGGGAUAACAGGCUGAUACCGCCCAAGAGUUCAUAUCGACGGCGGUGUUUGGCACCUCGAUGUCGGCUCAUCUCAUCCUGGGGCUGUAGCCGGUCCCAAGGGUAUGGCUGUUCGCCAUUUAAAGAGGUACGUGAGCUGGGUUUAAAACGUCGUGAGACAGUUUGGUCCCUAUCU